rnacentral:lncRNA from 1 species
CUUCUAAGAAUCAGUGAGUCCAACAUCUUCUGUGCCAAGGAUGCUGAGCUGUUAAUCGUGUGUUUUGUUUUGAGAAUGUGAGACUGCUAACUUUGUUUCAGCUCUCCUGCUCCCCACCCUCCUCCCAGCUCCGGUUUAUUCUGUUAUUGCUGAAAAGGAUGCCUGUCUUCUCCACUGGAAUCUGAGUAUCUUGAGGGCAAGGGUCAUUUAUUACUCACAGGUGCCCGCAUCUUUAACAGAGCUGACCUCGAGGACAAGAGGGAUGGGAAACAGGGAGAUGUGUGCGUAAUUCCGGAGCUGAGAGGCGGCCGGCCCGGCUGUAAUAAAGCUGUCUGUUAGGAAGUUAUCUUUCAUAUGCAAUUGCUUCCCCUAAGCUCUUAAGCACAUUAACUGCACCUGUAAUUAUACACACCUCAGAAAAUGCAUAAAAGCUGCCUUCUUUGCCAGACUAAAUAAAACUGCAGUCUCCUUCAUAUCCUCUACUGCCUACUGUACCUUAACGUUAGGGGGGAAAAAAGGAAAGAGAAAUGAAGGAAAAGAGAAGAGGUAAUUGCCCAUUAGAGAGUUGGUUAUAAGUGAACUUUGCCUCUCAUUUCCAGCAUUAAUUUUGCUCUGUGUGAACUGCACUUGACACCGUUCCGCGGGCCCGAGAGUCCUGGCCACUCUUGGUGGCCUGCACAGCUACUCGCUGUCCAUUUGCAUGUCAGGCAGUGUGUGAGACCACAACAGCAACAUUUGCUGUGACUCAGGAUAGCUUUGCAUCAGAGUGGAAAA